rfam:Salinibacter ruber DSM 13855, complete genome.
GAGAGCCGAGGUACGCCGAAAGGUGUACGCCCGGUUCGGGAAGAAGAGGUUGGAGACGGCCUUUAAGGUAUCUGAAGAGAUUAAACGCACCAACCUCUUACUUUCAC